rnacentral:pre_miRNA from 1 species
ACGGUGGGAUGAGGUAGUAGGUUGUAUAGUUUUAGGGUCACACCCGCACUGGGAGAUAACUAUUCAACCUGCUGUCUUUCUCAAAGU